rnacentral:lncRNA from 1 species
GGGAGGGGCUGCUUCCAGAGCAGAGCGACCUCAGGGAGAAAUACUCCUCCUUUCUGCACCAUCAGCAAUGAUUUCUCAAUCUAGCUAUGUUGACGACCCUGUUGAAAUCAGAGCAGUUAACUGAUAAGAUUAAACGUGUGCUCACUCCUAAUCGGUGCAGCUUGUGUGACCAUACAAGAUCUGGAAACUUCUGUUGUGGAAAAUGUGUUAAAGGAGGCCAGCCAGCUCACCUGUGUAACACAACAUCUGCAACACAGCUGGUGGUAGGAGCAAUUGGAUGUAUUCUGUACAGAAAGAGGAAGCGAUCAGCCUUGCAAAAAAUGAUCACAGAGCUUUAUGAGCAGCCUGCAGGCAAUCUGCUUAAAGUUGAUCUUCCUCCUGUCUGGGUAAAGUGGACAUCAAAAGAGACUCUUCCUUAAUCUCACCAAGAAAUGUGAUCUCAUUAUUUGUCUGUCAGGUAAGACAUUUGGUUAUGUUUUUAAAAUCCCUGUUCUAAUGAGCUGCAAAUUCUUCAGAGACCAAAUCCUUUAGUCUCUGUUUUUCAUAUUCUUCCCAGAGUUAGUAUUUCCGUGUUAUUGCAUUUCCUGGGAUGUUCAGUGACUGCGUAUACACUCUGUAUAUUGGUACUGCUCUAUAUCUGAUUUGCAUAAGCC